rnacentral:lncRNA from 1 species
CAGAGCCAGCAGCCAGUUCAAAUGGAAAAGAAGACAUAGUGGCUUCAGGCAAACCCUGCAGGGAGUCCCCACCACCUUCUGCAGCGGGUAACAGGAGUGGCAGACGUUUUGUACUUAUCCUUGACUUUACCAGGCAGUUUGGACAUCUCAGGAUCUGAAAGAAAUUCCUGUUUCCUGAGCCUAAUGGGAACCAGAACACUCCAGAUCUGGUGAGCCACCAUGGUGGUGCUGAAUUGUCCUGUUGCUCUAUGGCUUCUCAAGGUUGUAUCAUAAUGCUGUUUCUACUUUCCAUCACUUCCCCCUGAUGUCCUGACCCCCAAGAUGGGAAACCCUUUCUGUGCGUCCUCAUUCCACAGUGCUCUCUCUUGAUGCCAUGGCUCUUUCUGUUGAGUAUAGAAGAGCAUGCUCGUUGCUCUCACAGGAUGUAAAGC